GAAGAGUUCAGAGCUUCAGUCUUAAGAAAAUGGUAAUAACGCAGAAGACCAACAGGAACAAAAGGCUGGAGAUACCCCAGCAGCGAGCGUGAAGGCAGGUUUUAGCCCCGAGUGGGGUAAGAACUGCCGUUGGACUCCACACGUCCUACAGAAGUACAGUAUCCCGGAUCUGGGAUCAUUGAGACCAUCUUGUCCCAAAUCCUUUUUUUUACAGGAAAGGAAACUGAGGUCCAGGGAGAUUGGGCGAUUUGUACUACACUCUGGUUAAUUGUAGGGCUUGGGACGAAAACUUCGAUCUUCGGAUUCCAAGACCGACAGCUCCCUACCUAUUGUGAUAUCACUUUUGAACCUUCCUCAGACUUUCCUUGUGCCUUUGCGUUCGGUUUCAGUCCUCCGAAGUGGCUUCAGUUAGGGGGUCAGUUGACCAUAUAAACCCAGGGGUCCCUGGAAUGUUCUGUUUAAAGGACUACCGAGAGGUGUCCUUCCCUCUACCUCUCUGAAGAAGGUAGCACUUAGGAGGGCUAGUGAAGGAGAAAGAAAGGGGACCAGAAGCAACAUUUGUCACUACACGAACAGUGACUGGAGUGGUCGGAAACCUGGGUCCCACUUCAUGGACUGUCACUAAAAAGCUGUAUGACCUUAGGCAAAUCACUUCUUUCUCGGCCUCAGUUUCCUUCUCUAUAAAAGGAAGGGUGCAGAGAUCUCUAAGAUCUCUUCCCCGUCUGCCAUUUCAUAGUGUUCUCUAAUUAGAUGUUUAUAAUGAAGGGUAACAGAGACAGAGCUCGGGUCUCCCGCCCCACCCCACCCCCUAUAAUAGGAUGCCCUUCGCACUCCCAAAAUCGUGUCUCCUCUGAAACCAAACUCUGAGUGCUGCUAGUCCCACUGCCCAAGCGUCCCUGCCUGGGGAACACUCGAGGAAAGCCUACUCCGAGAGGACUAGUCUUUUCCCCCAGGGUCCUAGUCCCAGUCUCCGUCUCCUCCUCCUCCCAUUCCUUCCUCCCUUCCUCCCCCUUCUCCAGUCCACACCUUUUCCUAGUGCGGUCCCCGAGUUGAACCCUCUAUUCUGCUGGGCUCCCUCCUCCCAGCCCAGCUGCUGCGAAGACCCGGAGAAGUGGAUUUCACAAACUGCUCCAUCUCCCCGCCCGGAACCCUUUCCUCGGUGGCUCCAGCGGGGAGCUGGGCGCGCCCUGCAGCAGGGCUGAGUUCGGAUCGCCUACCGGCUUUGUACACAAGGCUGUGGGACUCUCACUGCCCCAGGGGCCUCGGGAGGGCGUUCGUCCAGUCUGGCUACUCCAAACCUGAGAGGAAAACGUUAUCUCACAGUGCCUACGGAGAACCGAGCCCUGGGACCAGGCGGCCUUGUUCACUCCCUCUGGUGCCUUGCUUCGGUGCACGCAUUCUCAGGGUUGCUGCCAACAGCACCAAUUUGUUCCCUUACAAAUAGGGAGAGAACAGUUAGCCUUUUGUGCUCAGUGCCCCUACUUUUCACUGGCCAAAGGUUUGAAAAACCCUGGAGCAAGUAGCAAGGUCGGAUUGGGAAUUCGAAGCCCACCCUCCAAAGGAACUUUCUCUAGUUUCCCCAGGUCCUAGCCUGAGGUCCCCCUCCGGCUCCUGUCACGUCAUUUCUAGAGUCAUUUUAAAUUUAGAAAACAAUCUUCCUCUCUAGAAAACCGGAGCAAUUCUGGAUAGGGCGGGGAAGAGGAAUGGGGGAGGGGGGCAGCAGAGAAGAAACGCGUUUCAUUUUGGCUUGGUAAUUUCCGUGGGUAGAUUUUUUAACGAGAAAGCGUGAACCGAAAGGAAGCUAUUUGCAACUCCCAAACAGAAUGGAUAAAAGCCGAGACCAGAUUGGCUGGAGAAACUUUCUCACAAUGCUUGCUUGCAUCCUGUCUCUUUAGGAACAGGGAACUGUUGUUUUAUAUCCAGGAAAUCAUUAAGCUAAAGAUUUUCUUUAAAAUGUGAAUAUUAAAUGUUAAGCUAAUUAUUUUAGCACAGUGCAAAGAGUGCUGUUAUUUGGAGUCAGAGAACCUGGGUUCGAAUAGCAGCUUGCCGGCUUUCUACUUGUGUGAUCUUGGGCAAAAUGCCCAAUGUCACUGUGCCUCAGUUAUUUAGUCUGUAUGUAAAAUGGAGGGGGAUUGGACUGGGUGGAUUCCAAGGUCCAUUCUAGCUCUAAAUUUAUGACCCUAUGACCCAGAGGCUUAAGUAAAGCAUAAGUGAUGGAAAUCUCUUUUUGACUUUAUGGCAAAUCAUGAAUUUUGUCUUUCCCUUCCCAUCUGGUACUCAAAUUUUUUUCCUGAAUGAAGUCUUUCCUUUCUACCCUAAUCCAUAUUGAUGUCACUCUUCUCUGAACUCCUCUAGCUCUUUUAGCAGUACUACAUAAUUAAGCACUUAAUUAUAUACAAGAAGCCCUCACUAUUUGCAGGGGGUGGUUCUAGAAAUCUUACUCAAAUAGGAAAAUCCUUCAAUGAAAUGGGAGUAGGGAGGAAAAAAAGUAGCAGGAAGAGAGGCAGUGAGACUAUGAAUCUGGCAUUCUCCUGGAGUGUGAGAGUAAGGAUGCCUUUAACUGUCCUCCCACCAACCCUCCAGGGAAAUAAUAAUAAAAUAACUGCAAUAA